CCAUGCCCAGCCUAUCUGACCCUUUUUAAAAUUGCUUUUUCUCCUGUAAUUGGUCUUAUGUCAAUUUAAUUUGCUUCCAGAGAAAGAACCUAGAAGAGUGGAAGGAAGCCAUUUUUCCCUUCUCUACAAAGGCAAGGUCUUGCUGGGAAGGGCCAGGUGCAUGCCAGACUUAGCAGUCAGGCCCCCAUCCUGUAAGCAAGGGGAAAAGCACUACUGAAGCUAGAACACCUUUGGCUACAAAGUGGAAGACGUGGUGAAAGGGUACAGACUUGAGGCAAGGGGACAAGUUUGAAGGCCACUGGGAACAGGUGAAGAAGGUAACCCCAGGCAGAGAAACCAGAGAUUCUGCAGGUAGAGCUCACAAUUGGCAGGAGAGCACAGAUGACAAGAAUGAAGCACAAGAAUGAGACAAAGCUGUUUUGUUUUCUUCUUUUUUUAUGGCAUU
rnacentral:lncRNA from 10 species